rnacentral:rRNA from 1 species
UACGGAGGGUGCGAGCGUUGUCCGGAAUCACUGGGCGUAAAGGGCGCGUAGGCGGCGCGGAUAGUCGGCGGUGAAAGCCCGGAGCUCAACUCCGGAUCGGCCGUGGCGACUCGUGGGCUGGAGCACUGUAGAGGCGGGUGGAAUUCCGGGUGUAGCGGUGGAAUGCGUAGAGAUCCGGAAGAACACCAGUGGCGAAGGCGGACCCGCUGGCAGUGGCUGACGCUGAAGCGCGACAGCGUGGGGAGCAAACAGG